rnacentral:rRNA from 1 species
UACGUAGGGGGCAAGCGUUGUCCGGAAUCAUUGGGCGUAAAGAGCGUGUAGGCGGCCCGGUAAGUCCGCUGUGAAAGUCCAGGGCUCAACCCUGGGAUGCCGGUGGAUACUGUCGGGCUCGAGUCCGGAAGAGGAGUGUGGAAUUCCUGGUGUAGCGGUGAAAUGCGCAGAUAUCAGGAGGAACACCAAUUGCGAAGGCAGCACUCUGGGACGUGACUGACGCUGAGACGCGAAAGCGUGGGGAGCAAACAGG